rnacentral:sRNA from 1 species
GCACCAGCAAAAUCUGGUGCCGGGAUUUGCACCCCGGUCAGCACUUAGGCGAUAUCAGACGCGCCAGCGUCUUUUUU